AAACUUUAAUAGUUAAAACUUUCAACAACGGAUUCUCCUUGGUUCUGGGCAUCGAUGAA
rnacentral:rRNA from 1 species